UUACUAUUGCUAUUACUAUUACUAUUACUAUUACUAUUACUAUUUGAACUACUAGACCGAUUCAGAUGAUCGACAUAUCACUAUAUUGUUUUGGCGGGUAAUGGCUAUAUAACAAUACUUGGAGUAGUGCGGGAAAUAGGUGCACAACUAACCGUCCAAUAACUCUUGAAAAUCAAAUUAAAUUUGGUUGCCAAAUUUUAACUAUAUAUAUUACCUUCGAAAUGUAGUACAUGAAUUUCUCGAGUUUUGUUCGUAGUUAGACAAAAAUCUAUUUUAAUACAAAGUAGCAAAUGCGUACUUUUGCCCCAUAGUGGGGGCAAAGGUGCGCACCCUACGGGACAAAAAUGCGCACUUAUUAAAUUGUACUUCUGGGGUAACUUGUAACAAAAAACAAUGCUUUAUCAUUACCAGCGGAAGAAGCCUCAUUACCAGAGUGUGUAGGCACUAUCCAGUGGGGGAGGAGGGGGUGCUGUAUGAUGUUUUAUGGGUGAAGAUGAGUGGGUGUUACGGUCGAACAUAUCACGUGGAAAUUAUUGGGAGGGAGGAGAAUGACAAUAUAAGAUAUCUGAAAAUGUUCAACAUUUGAAACAGAAUUCCUUUUUAUUAACAAAUUAGCUGACCCGGCGAACUUCGUCCCACCCACAAUUGAUAUAUUGAUAUAAAUCAAGGUUCCACAGAAAUUAUUUUUAUGUACAUAAUCUAUACACGCGGCAUAUAAUUUUUUUUUGACAUAUAAACCUGAUGCAGACUAUGACGCAUCAAUCUUGAUACUGACUGUUUAAAUCCGUUGCUCUGUUCUUGAGUUAAAUCGUGAGGAACGGACACCAAAAUGUUUUUAUUAAUAUAGAUCAAGUUUAUAAAUACAUGGUUACCUUCACUUGAUUUAAUUGAAACUCAUUGUUGAGAAAAAAAUAUUUGAAGUUCAUUGUGAAAACAUAAACAUAAACGAAACAUAACCGUUAUUGAUUUGAAUGCAUGGUGAAAAUAAAAACAUUUUUGAUUUAAAAUUCAUUUGAAUUAUUUUUAAGCGAUUGUUCAUUUUUCCUCCUCAUCUUGGAUUUCGGUUCUGAGGAUUCCGACGAUUUGCCUUGGAGCGCUGUAACUUCGUUGCGCUGUUGUAGGGUUCGAAGAAACAGACGAUGGUUCCUCAUGAAGCUAGAAUCCCAAUCUUUUCCUACCUGUUUUGGCUGAAUUCGUGCUGGAGGUUGUUGGCUUCCGCAAAAUCAAACGCCAGACGAUGUAAAUCUUUGAGAGUCAUACCAUAGAAAGCUUUGUCCAAUGCACUGCAGUGGCUCGCAGAUCCUCAGACUGCUCACUCGUAAAUACUUGUCUGAACCGCCCUAGGUGCUCGCUGGCACAACCCAGUAUAAGUAGAAAUGUCAAUAAAAGAAGAUUCAAAUCAUAAAUCACUCACUGAUAUGAGCCUCUUCCUCAGAGCUGAUUCAGAAAUAUCGAGGUCUGCCGCAAUCCGACGCUUCGAGAAUCCCUCCGGAAGCCUCUAUAGGGCCAUUUGAGCAUUUCUGGAGUGCAUUUCUUCAAAUCAGUUUUCUUCUUGUCCCGUUAAAAAUUUGGUUGGAAACAUUUUAUAAUUUUUUUUCUGAGCAAAACCCACCUUUGGCCCACAAGUAAUUUUUGAACUAAUCUAAUUUUUAAAAAAGCUCUUGAACUUUUUCACAAAAACGAGUACGCACUAUUGUACGCACUGUUGUCGAAAUUUUAUGCUCGUUUGCUUCAAAAAGGCCAAUGCGCACUUUUGCCCCGUGCGCACCUUUACCCCGCACUACUCAACUAUACGUAAAAAAUGAAAAUAUGUAAAUUAAGGUUCAUUUGAGAUAGCUAUUCCGAAUAACGGAGCUAGUGAAUCGAACUGUAGGUACAGUCUUAUAUAUUAUUCAUAUAUUAUUGGUGUUUGUAUAUUUACUCAAAAUUUUGUCUACACUACGACUGCGUCAAAUUGACGCAUAUUGACGUAGAGAUAGGUAUACCACAUAGAGAAUUUCAAUAUUUCAACACUUUUGAAGAAAAUAGACUUCAAUAUAUUUUAACCUCGAUCAAUGGAUAAAAGUCAUUACAAAAAAUAAAAUAAAAAUUUGUAGCGUGGUACUGGUUUCGACAUUUGGAAGCCCCUCGUUUAGUUAUUUUGAAGUUCAGAUUCUACACCAGCUCACUUGUGUGAAUCGGAGCCUCUCUCUUCUUUCAAUGUAUUGGAUGUAAGGCAACGCGAGUGCCGCUCCUCUUUUUAGAUUUGAGCAACUUGGCAUAAUGGGUGCUGGAUGUGAUUCGACGGCUGUGUUUUAGCCAAGACACCCAAAUACCAAUACACCCGAAAGACUCAUGCUUUCCUUUUUUCAUUUUUUUCGUUUGGAUAUUUCCCCCAAAUAGCAGAGUCUUUCGGCGGAGGUUUUCUUGUUCUUGGAACCUCAAAAACCCGGCAAGCGAUUCGAUUUGAACUGCGCUCGGGAGGUUAAAGGUGAUCGCCCGAGAAUAUUUGAAUAUGAGACCGAUGUAGGGACAAGGGAACUUGGCAUGACUUGCGUGAUUAUUAACUUCGUUAAUAAUUACGCAGUUCCGGUCCUAUUGAUUAGUACGCUGAUCUGAGGACUAAAAAUUAUGUUCUUCCAUUUCAACGUGGACCGUGGAAGAGGUCGGAGUGGUGUUAUUUUCUUGAACCGCGAAUUUCACAAAAGCUGGAUAGUCGAUAGAUUUAGGCAAAGUUGAAGUUGUACCCUCCCGUGCAUCCGUUAAAUACAUCCGGAGGUAAGAAUGGCAUUGUGGUUUGGCUCAUGUGGCGUAAUUUUGAAUGGUUCUUGUGUGUGCUUUUCGUGUAACCUCUUUAGGAAGCGCCGCUACUGACCCCACGGAGUCAACGUUGGAAUUGACCAAAAAUCCAGCCAAGGCUCAAACCUUUCCGCCUGGUUCGAAGACUGCGCUGCGCGAACAAUACUGGCAGCCGCAACAGGCGUAAACCGGAAGUUAGGACCGCUCAUCGCACGCCCAGCUAGGAGUAGAACCCGUCGACGUAGCGAAUCACAUAAAUCCAUGGUAGAAGCGCCGCUACUGACCCCACGGAGUCAACGUUGGAAUUGACCAAAAAUCCAGCCAAGGCUCAAACCUUUCCGCCUGGUUCGAAGACUGCGCUGCGCGAACAAUACUGGCAGCCGCAACAGGCGUAAACCGGAAGUUAGGACCGCUCAUCGCACGCCCAGCUAGGAGUAGAACCCGUCGACGUAGCGAAUCACAUAAAUCCAUGGUAGUGAGUACCUUUUUUCCUUAUCCAUUAUUAACAUGCGCAUGUAGGAUAAGUGAUAUUGAGCAAAACGCUAUAAAUAGCUACUAACCACGAAAGCCACACAAUUCAAAGCCAUACACACACAAAUAAUGCAUGCAGUGGAGAGCUCACUCCAUAUGACUGUGUAAUUUCAAUCGCUAUAAGCGAAGCCAUUCAUGAAUAGCCUAACGGAGUAAAUAGCAAGCGCGCCGUCUUCUCAACCUAGAUGUGAUGAGAUCGAGACUGGGGAGGAAAAUUAGAGUAGAGUAAUGAAAUUUGAUUAAUGUUCUUAGAGUAAAUAAAUUUUCUAUGUUGAUGGAUGUUCUUUCCUGAUUGACUAAAUGUUCAAUGUAGAAGAGAAGUGUUGAUGAAGCUAAUUGAUUUAAGUGAUUGAGAAUGUUGUGAGAGAUGUUUUGAUAUUUAAUGUAGUGUAAAAUAAACUUUUCCGUUCGAUUUAUAUGUUAAGGUCUAAGAAACAAAUGUGUAUUUACUGGCUCGCGGUGGCCUAAACACCGACGAACCCGUUCACUCUUCUUUUUGUGUUAAUUAGGUCACGAGUCAGGGUGGAGACUCCUUUUUUUGUUUACUUCCACUCUCACUCCUACGCUCCGAAGCGAGCUCUGAAGUUGAGGGGAAGAUCAUUAUUAGUAGGUCCAGUGAGGAGACCUCAGCAUAAGUGGUAGUCAGUGGGAUCGACCCAGACUUCCUUGUGUCUGCAUUACGUCUCGUGGACAAACGAUAUCGCGGGUUCUCCCGAGAGUGCAGGAAAAAAGUCGCGAAGCUAACCGGGUUGGUGAGGAGAAAAGGACAAACCCGCCCUCAGUGGGUGUCUCAUUGCCGGGCAAGGAAAAUAACACGGCGGUCGGUCUCCCUCACGGGAGUGGCGCUUAAGCCGACCGCUUAUCUGCGCAAAUUCCCCGGUAGCGACGGGCUCGCGCGCUCC